CAAAUGGGUUUCCUCCACUCUUUAAAUAAAAGCUGUUGCUAAGGGUGCAAAAUUAAAAAUAAAACAUCAAUCUGAAUGUCUACACCCACCUUUAGUGCCUAUUUUUAUAGUAUACUCAUACAGAGUUUUGUCAUUGCGAGUUUAUUGAUAGUCUUCAUCAUGACCAUCAUCAUCAUCUCUCUACUCCUGCUGGUUUCUCUGGAGCCACACCUGACCUUCACUGCUCGUGUGGACAUAGAUGACGGCACUGAAGCAAAACCUCACUCCAGACCUUACAUGGUUUCUCUUCAGAAAAACAGCUGGCAUAUCUGUGGUGGAUUCCUCAUUACUGAACAGUUUGUCUUGACUGCUGCACAUUGCUGGGAAAAAGGUGAUGCCCUCACAGUUGUGGUUGGCACCCAUGAUUUGAGUGAAAAAAAUUAUUGCAACAUCUUUAAAGUGACAUCCUACUUCCCGCACCCAGACUAUAACUCUGAAACUAUGAAGAAUGAUAUCAUGCUUUUAAAGCUAAAUACAAAAGUCAGACUGAACAACAACGUUGGACUGAUAUCAUUAUCAAAGAAGAGAAAAGAUGUUAAAGCAGAUACUGUGUGUAGUGUUGCUGGUUGGGGAAGACUGUGGAAGAAUGGCCCAAAGACUAACUGUCUAAGAGAGGCAGAGACAAUUAUAGUGAAUCGUGCAGAGUGUGAACGCAGAUGGAAAUCUUUAUAUAAGGCCUCAAAGAUGAUCUGUGUUUAUGGCCAUGGUGGAUCCUGCAAUGGGGAUUCAGGAGGUCCAUUGGUUUGUAAUAACACUGCUGUUGGUAUCACAGCUUUUGGUGACCUUUAUCUCUGUAAUUAACGUUUGCGUCCUAAUGUGUAUACUAGGAUUUCAGCAUAUAUUCCAUGGAUCCACAACAUAACUGGAAAGGUUUAGUGACUUCAUGAAAAAAGGAAGAAAUGUUUUUUAAUUCUUCCAUAAAUCUUUCAAUAAAAGUAUCAAAUGGCAAGCAUCAAUCAGUUGUAUUGUCUUCAUUGUCAAGAUUAUGAGGUUUUAAACUACUAUUCAAACAAUUUUCAGAUUAAUAAAUGGCAUAAAAAUAC